AUGCACUUUUGGUCCAUCGAGGGCGCCGAGGAGGCCCUGGGUGACCUCUACGUCGUCGAUCGCCUCGACAGCCGCACCUACGAGCGCGAUCACACGAGGAUGUUUGCCUGCUGGGUGUGGGUUUGGGAUGUCGCUCACAUCCCGACCAAACGCACCCUGUGGGAGACCAAGCGUGGCGCCGGGUGGGUGGUAGAGAUGCUUGGCUACUCGCCGCCCGAUCGCAAGGUGGCCCCUCCUCCAAACAUCAAGCGCUAUGACCUGCUGAUCCACGUCGACCGCGUCGAAGAUUGG
rnacentral:rRNA from 1 species